rnacentral:siRNA from 1 species
CAAUGGUCGGUCCACUAUGUCU